GAUAUCAACUGAAAAAGUCAUCAACAACAAAGUUGAAUAACUCAUCAAGAUCUAAAACUUUUAUUUUGGUCAUUUCUUCAUACGACAAAGUGAUAGUAACAUUGUUCAUAAAAUUGACAUAUCUCUUAUCUGGUUUUAUAAACUAUAACACAUAUAUGUAAAAUUUAUGAAUAAUAUUACUAACAUUUCGUCGGAUGAAGAAAUAACAAAAAUAAAAGUUUUAGAUCUUGAUGAGUUAUUCAACUUUGUUGUUGAUGACUUUUUCAAUUGAAAUC
rnacentral:pre_miRNA from 1 species